rnacentral:rRNA from 1 species
GAUGAACGCUAGCGGCAGGCCUAAUACAUGCAAGUCAAGGGGAUCGCAAGAUCACCGGCGGACGGGUGCGUAACGCGUACACAACGUACCCUUGAGCGGGGGAUAGCAUUGGGAAACUGGUGGUAAAACCCCAUGGUGUUGGAAAUCGUGGCAUCACAAACCAACUAAAGGAUACACUCAAGGAUCGGUGUGCGUCUGAUUAGCUAGUUGGCGGGGUAACGGCCCACCAAGGCGACGAUCAGUAGGGGGUGUGAGAGCAUGGCCCCCCANAUGGGUACUGAGACACGGACCCAACUCCUACGGGAGGCAGCAGUAAGGAAUAUUGGACAAUGGUCGGAAGACUGAUCCAGCCAUGCCGACGUGAAGGACGAAGGCGCUCAGCGUUGUAAACUUCUUUUGGACGGGG